rnacentral:miRNA from 1 species
GGGAUAUGAGUUUUCAUUUUUCUUGAGUAUGUGGGCAUGCAUGUGUGUGCAUGUAUAUGUGCAUGAAAUUGCUAUAAUUUAGAUGUUAAAUCCCAUAU